rnacentral:tRNA from 1 species
ACCUGGCUGGCUCAGUCAGUAGAGCACAUGACUCUUGACCUUGGGGUCGUGAAUUCAAGCCCCAUGUUGGGUG